GAUGAACGCUGGCGGCGUGCCUAACACAUGCAAGUCGAACGAAGCAAUUUAACGGAAGUUUUCGGAUGGAAGUUGAAUUGACUGAGUGGCGGACGGGUGAGUAACGCGUGGGUAACCUGCCUUGUACUGGGGGACAACAGUUAGAAAUGACUGCUAAUACCGCAUAAGCGCACAGUAUCGCAUGAUACAGUGUGAAAAACUCCGGUGGUACAAGAUGGACCCGCGUCUGAUUAGCUAGUUGGUAAGGUAACGGCUUACCAAGGCGACGAUCAGUAGCCGACCUGAGAGGGUGACCGGCCACAUUGGGACUGAGACACGGCCCAAACUCCUACGGGAGGCAGCAGUGGGGAAUAUUGCACAAUGGGCGAAAGCCUGAUGCAGCGACGCCGCGUGAGUGAAGAAGUAUUUCGGUAUGUAAAGCUCUAUCAGCAGGGAAGAAAAUGACGGUACCUGACUAAGAAGCCCCGGCUAACUACGUGCCAGCCGCCGCGGUAA
rnacentral:rRNA from 1 species